GGAAGGUCCGGGCGUUAUCCGGAUUUAUUGGGUUUAAAGGGAGCGUAGGCCGGAGAUUAAGCGUGUUGUGAAAUGUAGACGCUCAACGUCUGCACUGCAGCGCGAACUGGUUUCCUUGAGCACGCACAAAGUGGGCGGAAUUCGUGGUGUAGCGGUGAAAUGCUUAGAUAUCACGAAGAACUCCGACUGCGAAGGCAGCUCACUGGAGCGCAACUGACGCUGAAGCUCGAAAGUGCGGGUAUCGAACAGGAUUAGAUACCCUGGUAGUCCACGCAGUAAACGAUGAAUACUAACUGUUCGGAGGGCGACCUCUGAGUGGUAAAGCGAAAGCGUUAAGUAUUCCACCUGGGGAGU
rnacentral:rRNA from 1 species